AGAGCGAACGCUGGCGGCGUGCUUAACACAUGCAAGUCGAACGCGCAGCAUUCUGUAGCAAUACAGGGUGUGGGCGCGUGGCGAACGGGUGCGUAACACGUGGAUAACCUUCCUUUAGGUGGGGAAUAACCCAGUGAAAAUUGGGCUAAUACCGCAUAACAUGACGAUGGCACAUGCUGUUGUCUUCAAAGCCGCAAGGCGCCAGAAGAGGGAUCCGCGGCCGAUUAGCUAGUUGGCGGGGUAAUGGCCCACCAAGGCGAUGAUCGGUA
rnacentral:rRNA from 1 species